CUAUGGGGUGGUUAUGGGGUGGCUAUGGGUCCCAUGGGGUGGUUAUGGGGUGGCUGUGGGGUGGUUAUGGGUCCCAUGGGGGGGUUAUGGGGUGGUUAUGGGUCCCAUGGGGGGGUUAUGGGGUAGCUAUGGGUCCCAUAUAGGUCCUAUGGGGUGGCUAUGGGUUCCAUGGGGGUUAUGGGGUGGCUAUGGGUCCCAUAUAGGUCCUAUGGGGUGGCUGUGGGUCCCAUGGGGGGGUUAUGGGGUGGCUGUGGGUCCUAUGGGGUGGCUGUGGGUCCCAUGGGGGGUUAUGGGUCCCAUGGGGUGGUUAUGGGGUGGCUGUGGGUCCCAUGGGGGGGUUGUGGGUCCCAUGGGGGGGUUAUGGGGUGGCUAUGGGUCCCAUAUGGGUCCCAUGGGGUGGCUAUGGGUCCCAUAUGGGUCCUAUGGGAUGGCUAUGGGUCCUAUGGGGUGGCUGUGGGUCCCAUGGGGUGGUUCUGGGUCUCAUAGGUGGGUUAUGGUUCCCAUAUGGGUCCUAUGGGGUGGCUGUGGGUCCCAUGGGGGGGUUAUGGGUCCCAUAUGGGUCCCAUGGGGGUUAUGGGUCCCAUGGGGGGGUUAUGGGGUCUCCCCCCCCCCGUGGUUCUGACCCCCCCCCCUUUAUCAGCCCAAUGACCCUGUCACCAACAUCUGCCAUGCUGCUGACAAGCAGCUCUUCACCCUCGUCGAGUGGGCCAAGAGGAUCCCCAGGUUCUCAGCGCUGCCAUUGGACGACCAGGUCAUCCUGCUCAGGGCCGGUUGGAACGAGCUCCUCAUCGCCUCCUUUUCCCAUCGCUCCAUUGCUGUUCAGGACGGGGCAGGAUCUAUGGGGCAGGAUCUAUGGGGCAGGAUCUAUGGGGCAGGCUCUAUCUAUGGGGCAGGCUCUAUCUAUGGGGCAGGAUCUAUGGGGCAGG
ensembl:lncRNA